rnacentral:rRNA from 1 species
UCUAAGUUCCUUGGAACAGGACGUCAUAGAGGGUGAGAAUCCCGUAUGCGGUCGGAAAGGCGCUCUAUACGUAGCUCCUUCGACGAGUCGAGUUGUUUGGGAAUGCAGCUCUAAAUGGGAGGUAAAUUUCUUCUAAAGCUAAAUAUUGGCCAGAGACCGAUAGCGCACAAGUAGAGUGAUCGAAAGAUGAAAAGCACUUUGGAAAGAGAGUUAAAAAGCACGUGAAAUUGUUAAAAGGGAAGGGAUUGCAACCAGACU